rnacentral:rRNA from 1 species
GACGUAGGGGGCGAGCGUUGUCCGGAAUUACUGGGCGUAAAGAGCACGUAGGCGGAUAAUUAAGUCAGGUGUGAAAGACCGCAGCCUAACUGCGGGGUUGCACUUGAGACUGGUUAUCUUGAGGGCAGGAGAGGUCAGUAGAAUUCCUGGCGUAGCGGUGAAAUGCGUAGAAAUCAGGAGGAAUACCAGUGGCGAAGGCGGCUGACUGGACUGACCCUGACGCUGAGGUGCGAAAGCGUGGGUAGCAAACAGGAUUAGAUACCCU